CAAAGAAAAUGGAAAAUUGGACAAAAGACACUUAACCCUGUUUGUGUUGUUCUGACAUUGGGUGAGGGACGUUUUCUUUCUAGGAGACAUUUGUGAACAAGUUGCAGAUUUUCCUUCAUCCCGUGGAGACUAUAAGACGUCAAUUCAAAACUUGUCACAAUGAAAGGCAGGCCAACCCGAUAUUAUUGAGAACUAUUAGAAAAAUAUGCACGAUGCCAAGAAUAUAUAAGAAAGAGUAAGUUGGAAAGUCAAUCAUCUGAAUAAAGAUAUGAAAGAGAGAUAAGAAAUCAUGACAAAUGUCACACACGUUGAAAUAAUUUGCCUUCUCCAUUCUUCAGUC